rnacentral:rRNA from 1 species
CCUACGGGUGGCAGCAGUGGGGAAUAUUGCACAAUGGGGGAAACCCUGAUGCAGCGACGCCGCGUGAGUGAAGAAGUAAUUCGUUAUGUAAAGCUCUAUCAGCAGGGAAGAAAAUGACGGUACCUGAGUAAGAAGCACCGGCUAACUACGUGCCAGCAGCCGCGGUAAUACGUAGGGGGCAAGCGUUAUCCGGAUUUACUGGGUGGAAAGGGAGCGUAGACGGCAGUGCAAGUCUGGAGUGAAAGGCGGGGGCUCAACCCCCGGACUGCUCUGGAAACUGUACGGCUGGAGUGCAGGAGAGGUAAGUGGAAUUCCUAGUGUAGCGGUGAAAUGCGUAGAUAUUAGGAGGAACACCAGUGGUGAAGGCGGCUUACUGGACUGUAACUGACGUUGAGGCUCGAAAGCGUGGGGAGCAAACAGGAUUAGAUACCCCAGUAGUC